CCUGGAGAAGGCAAUACUCGAGGCCAACAAGGUAGCCAACCUUCUCCACUCCUGAUUGUGUAAGAGUGUGUUGUGCGCUUGACCCUUGAGAAGAAUGGCAUCGAUGAAGGCUGAGAGACCUCCUGUAAAGACUAAUGAGGGUGCACCCAAAGCUCCGGCCUCCAAGCCGGCCCCGAAGAAGGCAGAGCAGAAGCCUCGGGAGCCUAAGAAGAAGGCAAAAAGUGCCAAACCUGCAGCAAAGAAUUAACUAGAGGGAUGAACUUAUAAGAAUGGCUAGAGUGCUGAAUAUGAAGAGUGUUCAUCACCAAAUGAGGAGUUAUGGCCGUCCCUCCUUAUUAAAUAUAUUAGUGUGAAAGUUGGAUCCUGUAUUUCCAUGUACUUUGCUUAUUAGGCUCAGCCUAAUGAAAUAAAAAAAGAAGCAUAUACUUAAAGAGUGAGCUAUUAUUUGGACA